GAUGAACGCUGGCGGCGUGCCUAAUACAUGCAAGUCGAGCGAACAGACGAGGAGCUUGCUCCUCUGACGUUAGCGGCGGACGGGUGAGUAACACGUGGAUAACCUACCUAUAAGACUGGGAUAACUUCGGGAAACCGGAGCUAAUACCGGAUAAUAUAUUGAACCGCAUGGUUCAAUAGUGAAAUACGGUUUUGCUGGCACUUCUAGAGGGAUCCGCGCCGCAUUAGCUAGUUGGUAAGGUAACGGCUUACCAAGGCAACGAUGCGUAGCCGACCUGAGAGGGUGAUCGGCCACACUGGAACUGAGACACGGUCAAGACUCCUACGGGAGGCAGCAGUAGGGAAUCUUCCGCAAUGGUCGAAAGCCUGACGGAGCAACGCCGCGUGAGUGAUGAAGGUCUUCGGAUCGUAAAACUCUGUUAUUAGGGAAGAACAACUGUGUAAGUAACUAUGCCCGUAUUGACGGUACCUAAUCAGAAAGCCACGGCUAACUACGUG
rnacentral:rRNA from 1 species